CCCAGUGAAUGGGGAUAGGAAGAGAGGCGAGGCGGGCUGCCGCGUGCAAGUGCUGUGACGGCUUAAUUGAUUAUUCCCAAGGAGCAUCCAGCGUGGGUGAGAAUCGAAAGGUCUUUCCCUCUCCCUUCCAGACUCCCCCUUCCUGCCACACCCAGCGACAGCUUGUCUAGGCCCAUCCGCAGGAUUUUUCCUUCUCUUGCUCUGCUGCCCCUCUCCUUACCAGGACAUCCAGUUGGUGACAGUCCACUCCUCUGAUAAGGUGAGAGAAGACUAGAGGGGAUGCAGCUGGAGAAAUACCCCUUCCUCAAGGUGGAUAAGGCUCUGGGACAGAUUUUCCUCUGGGUGGCUUGUGUUAUGGAGAAGGCUUUUGGUGUAUCUCAUGCUCAUCACACUGCUAGAGCCAUGAGAGGAUUUUUUUUUUUAAAUCUCUUUUUUGUGAGUACUUGGUGAAACUUCUGGAGAUAAAACCAGAAAAUUGUGCUCCCCACCCACAGAUGACAGCCUCCAGGAAUUUCUCACUCUUAAGCCAGUUCCAACCUUCAGCCAUUCAUGCAGAUGGUCAUCCAGUGUCUCUACCAGCUCGACAGGCUCCGCCAGCUUCUGCUCUGGGGGAUCCCACUGAGAAUUUCCCUUGAGUCCCAGGAGAGACUUUGGACUUGGACUUUUGGGUCAUGCUAAAACCCAAAACUAUGAAGACUCUUGGAAAUGGACUAAGUAUAUUUUGAAUUGUAAGAUGGACAUGAACUUUCAGAGGCUGGGGGCAGAAUUUUGUAGUUCGGAUAUGUGGGGUCCUGCAAAAUCUCAUGUGUGUGACAAUGCAAGGAUUUUUAGGGGUGAAAUGAUUGGGUUACCUAGUUGGUAGAUUAGUUCAUUAACAUAGAUGAAUGGGGCUAUAACUGCAAUCAGGUAGAGUGUGGCUGAAGGUGACAUGCCUUUGGGAUUUUUUAUUUUGUUCCGGGUGAGCAGAGCUCUCUGUUUCCUGUUUGCCAUAUCUUGAGCUGGUUUCCUCUUCCACACAUUUCUGUCAUGCUGUUCUGCCUCCCAUUGGAUCCAGAGCAAAUAGGGUCAGCUGUUUGUUGACUGAGACCUCGGAAACUGUAAGCCCCAAAUAAACUUUUCUUCCUCUACA